rnacentral:lncRNA from 1 species
UGCAAACACACACACACCUCACAUUAUAAAUAUGACCAAUAAGUGAUGAGAAAAUACAAACAUAAACAGAUCCAUUUUACAAUAGUAGCCCAGUAAAAUUUCACCCCGUCUCCAAUGCUGUCACUCUAGUCUACCCAGCAUCCAACCAUCUAUGCUUUCACUCGUCUGUUUGCCUCCACCCUUGAUUUCCCAUAGUCUGUUUCAGCAAGGCAACCAAAGUUAUCUUUUUUUUUCUUUCUUUCCAUCAGAGGUAUCUUUUAAAGCAGAAUUAUGUUUAUUUAUAACCUCUGAUAACUGCAUUCUCACUCAAAGUAAAAGCCAAAGACCAUACAGGACCUUAUACAAUCAUGGCUCCCUUUAUGUCUGUGACUUCAUUUUCUGAAACUAUCCACUUAGCUCUGUCUGCUCAGGCCACACUGGCUUCCCUCCUCUUCUUAGAACAUGCCAAAUAUGCUUUCAUCUCAGAUGUUACUCCUCUCAUAUGCUGUUGCUUUGUCCUAACUACAGUUUCCCAUUUAUCCACAGGACUUACUCUUUCACCUCCUCCAGUUAUUUAUUUAAAGAUCACCCUAUUUGUGAAGUCCUUACAGGUUCAUCCUAUUAAGACUUGUAUUGCCCACCCCAGAGGCCAAGCAUAUUCCUGUCCCUGACUUUGGACUAAGCCAUGUUACUUGUUUUGGCUGAUGAAACUCAGAAAAGAAUUCCGGUGUGCUAGUUCCUUAAGAGAUAUGCAUACUUUCAUUUGUCCUACCCUUCUAUAUCACCAUGAGAAGGACAUGAUAAGGUUAGCCUCUUGGUCCAAAGAGGAUGAGACACCCAUGAGACAGAUUCAUACCCAAUCUGCAGCUUAGAGCUGUCCAGCCUGCCACGUGUCUCUAUCACCUGACUCCUAGACAAUUGCUUUUGAUAUACAGAUGCCAGAGAGAUUAUGUGCUUGUUAUAUACUUGACUGAUGUAGUGACCUUGUUAAGAGCUGUGUCAUUGAAAUGAUGGAUAGAGAGCCCGUCUGAAAUAAGUUCACAUGAGAAUGGGUAGAAAAUAAUUGAGUAUAGAUAGUAUCACAAAACUUCCAUACAGUUUUUCCCAUAAAUGUGGUAUAAGAAAUUGGAAAGUGUCUAGAGAGAGAUGUGGAGUAAAAAAUAAUUUCUUUUUGGAUGACAGAACUGACAGCAUGUUUGCAUGCUGAUGAGAAUGAUCCAGUACAAUGGAAGAGUAGGGGGAAUGAUGAUGCCAGAAAGAAGGUGGAGAAUGACUCCAUUCACUCUGGAGGAUACCAUGUAUAUAAGUGGAGAUUUUGAAUUAAGGAAGUUUCAAAUUCAGGUUGUCCUGACAUGAAAAUUCACAUAUUUUCUAUUAAAAUGUGCUGUCAAGCUUCUUUCUCUAAAAGCAGUAAAAUGUGGAAUGAUAGUAGGAAUAUAGGUAGUAAAGCCAAUUUAGUGGAAUGAUAAUUUAAAGUCCAGAGAUCUUCCUAUCAUAUGCCUUUAAUUAGAUAGAUGCAUGAUCUCAAGCAGUCCUCUAAUUAUUUGGAUCACUUCAUUUCCUCGCCUAUUAUAAAAUGAAUAGAGAGAUGAGUUCUAAAUUUCCUCAUCUAGCUCUAAAAUUGUAUUAUUCCAAGACCUGACAAUUAUGCUUCAAAUGCCCCUCUGAGAGGUGUUUCCAUCAUUAUGUAAGUGCAUAGCUUACUGGCAUUCUCCUCUAUAACAGAUCUCAAAAUGUCUCUUUCACAGUAACAUCCCAAACUCACCUAAAGUCAGAUAUUUUAGAAUAUCUGACAUCUGCUUAGUCUCCCAAGACUGGCGGAAUGGAUUGAAUAAUAGUUAUUUUAGGAUGUAAUUGCUGCACUGUUAAAAAAUAAAUCCCUCUGCAACUAAAUAAUGUCACAUUUCUGAGCCACUUAUGUAACCAAAAUGAUUUAUCCAAAUAAAAGAGCAUAAUUUUAAAAGUCAUUGCAAACGGCUUUCAUCCCUAGCCCUCUGUGCUGUUAAAGUGUGAUUCUCCAUAGAUUUUAGCUAUGUAUAAUAAUGGCAGCUUUCUAAUAUUUCAUGUUAAGAAAUCUGAGCUUAAUAGCAAUAAAGAAAAUUAGGAUAUAGAAUAUAGGAAAGGGAAUAUGAAAGUACCUAAAAAGCCCUAAAUACCUUGGGGUAAAUAGAAGGUAGUGGUAAGCAAUUGUGGAAAAAGAUUAAAAAGCUGACAGUACUUGAUUGGUUCCUAUACAAACAAUAGAGAAGGAGUUGACAACCACAAGGAAUAAUGUAAAUGUAAAUGAAUACCUGAGGGGAAGAGAUUGAGAAGACAAAGGGGGGAAAAAAAGGAAGAAAUUUGUAGUAAACUUAACUUUGAAUAUUCAUACUCAGAGUAACUAACAGUUUGUAGUUUUAAAGAGCAACCCACUAAGCACAGGGUUUGGGGAUGUGGAUAAAUAAUGAUAGGUGAAUAUAAACAAAAUAUGGAUAGAUAGAAAAAGUUGGCAUCUUCUGAGUAUGAAUAACUAUGCUUUAUUUAAAAUUGUAUGAUUUUAAAGGAUAUCAAGAAAUUUGUCAUGAGGUACUAACUGGAAAUGGGCAAUACCAGUGCAUAUUAAAAUCCUCAGUAAUCCAUAAAUUAAGAAUUACAGUGGCCUGGAGUAGGUGAUUGGAUAAAAAAACAAGACCCAUCUCUAUGCCAUAUAUAACACAUUAGACCUAUUGUACUUAAUAGAUAACUACAGGACACCCCAUCCAAAAAUAGCACAAUACACAUUCUUCUCAAGUGCACAUGGAACUUUCUCUAGGAUAGAUCACAUACUAGAACACAAAACAUGUAUUAACAAAUGUAAAAAGAUAGAAAUUAUAUUAAACAUCUUUUCUGACCAUAUCAAUAAUUAAGUGGAAAUCAAUUAUAGGAAGAAUGGAAAAAACACAAAUACAAGACUAAAUAUCAUGCUAUAAAAAACCAAUUAGUUAGUAGAGAAAUCAAAGAGAAAAUAAGAAAAUACCUUGAGAUAAAUAAAAAUAAAAAUACAGGUUUUCAAACUCUGUGGGACACAGCAAAAACUGUUCAGAAAGGGAAGUUAAUAGUGAUACAGGCCUACUUCAAGGAACAAGAAAAAUCUAAAUAAACAACCUAACUUUCCAUCUAAAGUAAUGAGAAAAAGAAGAACAAACAAAGCCCAAAGUCAGCAGAAAGAAGGAAAUAAUAAAAAUCAGAAUAUAGUAAGAGAAUAAAAAAAGCAAUAGAAAAAAAAUCAAUGAAGCCAAAACCUGAUUUUUUUGUAAGAUAAGCAAAAUUGAUGUCUUUAGCAAGUCUCAUUAAGAAAAAC